GUGGGGAAUCUUCCGCAAUGGACGAAAGUCUGACGGAGCAACGCCGCGUGAGUGAAGAAGGUUUUCGGAUCGUAAAGCUCUUUCGUUAGGGACGAACGUGCUCUUUGUGAAUAAUGAGGAGUAAUGACGGUACCUAAAUAAGAAGCCACGGCUAACUACGUGCCAGCAGCCGCGGUAAUACGUAGGUGGCAAGCGUUGUCCGGAAGUAUUGGUCGUAAAGCGCGCGCAGGCGGGAUAUCAAGUCUGUCUUAAAAGUGCGAGGCUCAACCUCGUGAGGGGACAGAAACUGGUAUUCUUGAGUGUCGGAGAGGAAAGUGGAAUUCCAAGUGUAGCGGUGAAAUGCGUAGAGAUUUGGAAGAACACCAGUGGCGAAGGCGACUUUCUGGACGAUGUCUGACGCUGAGGCGCGAAAGCUAGGGGAGCGAACGGGAUUAGAUACCCGGGUAGUCC
rnacentral:rRNA from 1 species